rnacentral:misc_RNA from 1 species
GAUGAAGAACGUAGCGAAAUGCGAUAAGUAAUGUGAAUUGCAGAAUUCAGUGAAUCAUCGAAUCUUUGAACGCACGUUGCGCCCCCUGGUAUUCCGGGGGGCAUGCCUGUCCGAGCGUCAUUACAACCCUCAAGCUCAGCUUGGUGUUGGGCCCCGCCGCCCCGGCGGGCCCUAAAGUCAGUGGCGGUGCCGUCCGGCUCCGAGCGUAGUAAUUCUUCUCGCUCUGGAGGUCCGGUCGUGUGCUCGCCAGCAACCCCCAAUUUUUUUCAGGUUGACCUCGGAUCAGGUAGGGAUACCCGCUGAACUUAAGCAUAUCAAUAAGCGGAGGA